rnacentral:tRNA from 1 species
GCGGAUGAAGCUCAAUUGGAUGAGCACCACUUCGUCGAAGUGGCGGUUGGGGGGUUCGAGUCCCUUCGUCCGCU